GUUGGGUAUGAUGGUGUGCAUCCGUAGUCCCAGCAACUCUGGAAGCAAAGGCCAGGAGGAUUUCUUGAGCCCAGGGGUUCUGGGCUGUAGUGCACUGUGCUGACCUGCUGCCAUACCAAGGUUCUGCAUCAGGAGAGUGAGCUCCCAGGACCAGAGGACCACCAGGAGGCAUGGGCCAGCCUAGGCUGGACAUAGAGCAGGUCAGAACUCCUAUGCUGAUUAGUAGUGGGAUUGCCCCUGUGAAUAGCCACUGCACUCCAGCUUGGACAACAUAGAGAGGUCCUGCCUCUU
ensembl:misc_RNA Metazoa_SRP Metazoan signal recognition particle RNA